rnacentral:lncRNA from 1 species
UUUUGUCUCAGAAAGUCGAUCCUAUCAGAAAGUUGAUCCUAUUUCGUCUUUUUGUUUUUCUUUCUAACUAACCUAUGAUUUUUCACCUUAACUCGCUCUCCUUAUAUUCUUCUUCUAACUUAGGCCGUGAUCAAUCUUACUCAUAUCUUUGCUUAUAUUCUCCUUCGUUUCUAUUUUCUUUAGUUUAUGAUACCAUUUUAUUUAAAUGAUACU